AAUCACGAUGUCAAAGCAAAACCACAUUUACGGGUUGAUCCGAUGAUGAUGACGAUGAUGAUGAUGAUGAUGAUGAUGAUAACGAUGAUGAUGAUGAUGAUCCUUAAAGAAACUUGUUGUUUGAGUGAGGUGGAAGUGUGAUAAAAGCGAUUGCGAAGCCUCUGCUUUCAAAAAGCGGCAACGAGAGAGUUUUGCCACACGUCUCUCUUGCGAUUUCCUCGCUUCCCCUUCCUCGCGUUCUCACUCUUUCCAUUCUUCCUUCCUUUUCUCUCUCUCUCUCUCUUCCCCUCUCCCCUCUCCCCUCUCUCUUUUCUCCUUUUGAUUUCGGAUCCAUUUUUUCCGACAAUCUUCUCGUGAUCUCGGUUUCUGUGCGUUGAACGAUCUGUUGAUCUGUUUCUGUCUCCCGGUUCCCGAGACGAUGAGCCAUUUGCGUCGAUUUGGCUUCUAUCACGUGUCUCGAUUGCUUAUCGAUCUGAUCAGGAUUUUGUCUCCAUUUUGAUCCUCAUUGCUGCCCCAGCUUCGUAAUUUUGUCUCUAGAUCUCUAGAUUUCUCCUUUUCCGAUGUCUAUUAGGGUUUCGGUAUUCGUUCCGUCGUUAGGGAAUCUGUAGCGGUUCAACAUCUGCCGUCGUAGUCCGAGCUUUAGGGGGGUUCUAACCAGGCUAUUGGAAGCCGCAUUUCGCGUUUCUUUCGGAACUUCGAUCUCGGUGGUUCGAUACCGUGCUUCCAUUGGCGUAGUUUCUGCGGAAAAUUGAGGUCUUAUGAUUUUGGGGAGGGGAGUGCUAAUUAGAGGAGAAACAUAUCUAUUGGUUUAGGUAAUGGUUCGCCUGUUAUCUGCGGCCGAAGCUCGGGCAUUCUCAGGAAGCGAGCCUCAUAUCUCAUUGGCUCUUGUUGUUAUAUGAGAAACAGUUUCUGGAGCUGUUAGAAUUUUCUCUGGAAUGUUAGCAUUUGACCUGCGCAUGUAUACAUCUCCAAUGUUGUCAUUGGAGAAUAAUUUAUGAGCUCUGGACAGCCAUUGCUGUCACCAUCUGAGCCUUCUUCUGUGGUACAUCAUUGUCGGUCACCUCGCAGCUUAGACUCCAUCGGUUUCCUUGACAGGAAUGUUUCUGUCUCAUCUUCUGAUGUUGAAGAGGGUCAGAGUGGUCGCAUAGAUCACGAGGAAGAUAAAGAGGAAGAGGCCACUACUGUUGUAGGAACAGACUUCGGUUUGUCUCCCUUUGAGAGACGUCAUCCACAUCCCACUGACAAAAAAUUCCGUUCUGCUGAGCUUCAUAUCCCUCAGCAGUUCUCAUUGGCACACCCCACGAAGGAAAGGAGAAACUUUGUAUCGGGGGGUGCAAUGGAGCUGCAUAACAAUAGUCGCAGUGCUUCCUCGUUUGAGAUUUCUGGGGAGAAGUUUCACAAAUCCAGCAGGGCAAGAAGCAAAAGUGCUAUCUUUGAAAAUAACCUACUUUGUGAAGAGAAUGCAAGGCUGGUUUACAUCAAUGAUCCAUGGAAAACUAAUGAUAACUACGAGUUCACGGGAAAUGAGAUCAGGACAAGCAAGUACACACUGAUCACCUUCUUGCCCAAGAACCUUUUCAUUCAGUUCCAUAGGGUUGCUUACUUGUAUUUUCUUGCAAUCGCUGCUCUCAACCAGCUUCCUCCUCUCGCAGUCUUUGGGAGGACAGUGUCUCUCUUUCCACUCCUAUUUGUAUUGUGUGUCACAGCUAUCAAAGAUGGCUAUGAAGACUGGAGAAGACACAGAUCAGAUCGUAACGAGAACAACAGAGAGGCUCUUGUGCUUCAAUUUGGGGAAUUCCGAAUGAAAAGUUGGAAGAAAAUACAAGCUGGUGAAGUAGUUAAGAUUCAUGCUGAUGAAUCAAUACCGUGUGACAUGGUGUUGUUAUGUACGAGUGAUCCCAGUGGACUCGCUUAUAUUCAGACAAUGAACUUGGAUGGCGAGUCGAACUUGAAGACACGAUAUGCGAGGCAGGAGACGACUUCUUCGGUAUUUGAAGGGUGCUCAGAAUUUGGACUGAUAAAGUGUGAGCAGCCAAACAGAAAUAUUUAUGAGUUCACAGCCACCAUGGAGUUCAAUGGGCAACAAUUUCCUCUUAGCCAAUCAAACAUUGUGUUGCGUGGCUGUCAGCUGAAGAACACGGAUUGGAUCAUUGGUGUUGUGGUAUAUGCUGGACAAGAGACGAAAGCUAUGCUCAAUAGUGCAGUAUCUCCUUGUAAAAGAAGCAAGCUGGAAAGCUACAUGAACAGAGAAACACUGUGGCUGUCCAUUUUCCUUUUCAUCAUGUGUCUCGUUGUGGCAUUGGGUUCAGGUUUCUGGCUCCAACGCCACAAGAAGCAGCUAGACACCUCACCUUAUUACAGAAAACGCGAUUUCAACAAGGCACCACACAAGAACUAUAAAUAUUACGGGAUCCCUUUGGAGUCUUUGAUUUCCUUUCUCAGUUCUGUAAUUGUCUUCCAGAUCAUGAUUCCAAUUUCUCUUUAUAUUACAAUGGAACUAGUUCGUUUGGGCCAAUCCUAUUUUAUGAUAGAAGACAGGCACAUGUUUGACAGCAGCUCCGGAUCAAGGUUUCAGUGCAGAUCACUGAAUAUAAAUGAGGAUCUGGGUCAAGUGCGAUACGUAUUUUCUGAUAAGACUGGGACUCUGACAGAAAAUAAAAUGGAAUUCAGAAGGGCAAGUGUCUAUGGAAAGAAUUAUGGGAGCUCUUUGCCAGUAGGUGAUUUAAUACAUGAUCACAGUGUCCAAGAUACAGGAUGCAAACGCAAAUCUCAAGUUCUAGUUGAUCUUGAAUUGAUGGAACUGCUGCACCAAAAAGCGAAAGGGGAUGAGACGAUUGCAGCUCAUGAGUUUUUCCUUGCACUAGCUGUAUGUAACACUGUGGUUCCAAUCCAUGGGGCAGAGGAAGAUCUUGGAGCUAUUGAGUAUCAAGGUGAGUCCCCUGAUGAGCAAGCGCUCGUUUGUGCAGCCAGAGCUUAUGGUUAUACUCUCUUUGAACGCACAUCAGGGCAUGUGGUGAUUGAUGUCAAGGGUGAGAAACUAAGAUUGGAUGUUAUAGGUCUGCAUGAGUUCGACAGUGUGCGGAAAAGGAUGUCAGUCGUAAUUAGAUAUCCGAACAAUGAUGUUAAGGUCUUGGUCAAAGGUGCUGAUACUUCUAUGUUCAGUAUACUAGCAAACUAUGAGAGGGUUGAUCAGUUAAGGCAAGAAACUCACAGCCAUUUGAUCGAAUAUUCUCAACAAGGUUUACGCACUCUUGUAAUUGCUGCGAAGGAUCUUACCGAUACAGAGCUUGACCAAUGGCAGCAGAGGUAUGGAGAUGCUAGCACUUCUCUGAUUGACAGGGCUGCAAAACUACGACUAACAGCAUCUCUCAUAGAAUGCAACCUGAAUUUACUUGGUGCAACGGGGAUCGAAGACAAGCUUCAAGAUGGAGUUCCUGAAGCCAUUGAGGCCCUGCGAGAAGCAGGAAUCAAGGUUUGGGUACUGACAGGGGAUAAACAAGAGACAGCAAUUUCAAUUGGACUCUCUUGCAAGCUUCUCACAGCUGACAUGCGACAGAUAAUUAUCAAUGGCCAUUCUGAGGAUGAAUGCAGAAACCUCCUGGCUGAUGCGAAGGCAAAAUAUAUCAUGAGAUCAAUGAAUAAGGCAGAUGAGAAGGUUAAUAGAGAAGAUGAAAAUGUCAAUCCUUAUCUUGCAAUGGCAUAUGACCCUAAAUUGUCCUUUCAAGAGGACAUGAUGGUUCCAUGUGCUCCACUUGCUCUCAUCAUUGAUGGGAAUAGUCUUGUGUACAUUUUGGAGAAAGACUUGGAGUCAGAUCUUUUCGACCUGGCAAUUGCUUGUAGAGUUGUUUUAUGUUGUCGUGUUGCUCCGCUACAGAAAGCUGGAAUAGUUGAUCUAAUCAAGAGCCGUACUGAUGAUAUGACGCUGGCGAUUGGCGAUGGGGCCAAUGAUGUUUCGAUGAUUCAAAUGGCUGACGUUGGGGUUGGAAUCUGUGGACAAGAAGGCCGUCAGGCAGUGAUGGCAUCAGAUUUUGCUAUGGGACAAUUUCGGUUUUUGAAGAGGCUGCUGCUAGUUCAUGGACACUGGAACUAUCAGCGCGUUGCUUAUUUAGUUCUUUACAACUUCUAUCGCAACGCUGUAUUUGUGUUGAUGCUAUUCUGGUACAUACUAUUUGCAGCUUUCUCCACAACUUCUGCAUUAACGGACUGGAGCAGUGUAUUUUAUUCUGUAAUAUACACUUCAAUCCCCACCAUUAUAGUUGGUAUCUUGGACAAGGAUUUAAGCCAUAGGACAUUACUGAAGCAUCCAAAACUCUAUGGUGUGGGGCAUAGACAUGAGGCUUAUAAUAUGCGCCUCUUCUGGUUCACAAUGGUAGACACGCUAUGGCAGAGUCUUGCUCUUUUCUACGUACCUCUGCUCACCUACAAGGAGGGCACAAUUGAUAUUUGGAGUAUCGGGAGCUUGUGGACCAUCGCUGUUGUUAUCUUGGUUAAUAUCCACCUUGCUAUGGACAUUCAACGUUGGGUCUUCGUUACUCAUUUGGCUGUUUGGGGGUCUAUCAUGAUUACAUAUGCUUGUAUGGUGGUACUCGACUCCAUACCUGUGUUCCCGAAUUAUGGGACAAUCUACUAUCUGGUAACGACAGCUAGAUAUUGGCUCACAAUUCUACUCAUAAUAGUGGUGGGGUUAUUGCCCCGUUUCCUUGUCAAGGUCAUGAGCCAAGCGUUUUGGCCCUCGGAUAUCCAGAUAGCAAGAGAAGCUGAGAGGCUAGAUAAGCGCCGUGGUUUUCUGAGGCGGAAACCAGGUCAUGAACCAGAUCAUGAUGCCUUUUAAUGUGAAAUUCAAAAAACACACAUUGAUAUGGUAUUUCUCCUAUUUGCUGUCAACUGUCUCCUAACCUAGGCAGGAGCCAUUAAGUCAGGUGAUCUACACAGAGGCGAUCCAGGACGACGCUAAAGCGGAGGAUGAGGAUGAUGAUGAUGAUGAUGAUGAUGAUGAUGAUUAAAAAAAAAAAAAGAAUAGCAGAGAACUCUGAGGUGAUAGAGGUAAGAUGAUGAACUGGGUGACAUGAGAAUUGAAUUGAAGUGGAUCCAAAAUAUAGAAGGGAUUGAGAAAGAUGAAGUUAACUGUUCUAGGAGAGGUAAAUGUGUAGUAUAUUUGUGUUUUAUAUAUUAUACACUUGAGGCUGAGGAAUUGGCUUAAAGCGAGGGGGUGCAGUAACUACUUUAAGUGAGGGGGAUGGAUGGUGGUGGGGUGGGGUAUAAAAUAACAGUAGGGUUGUAAAGAUUAAGGUGUGGUUGAAAAUAUAUUUUCUUCUUUCUCACAUGAAAAGAAGGUUGUUUUGUGCAAACUAUUAAAAUCAAAAGGAGAGAGCCAAGAGUGAACUCUUUCAAAA